GGAGGGGGGGCGAGCGUUAUUCGGAAUUAUUGGGCGUAAAGGGCAGGUAGGCGGCUUUGUAUGUCUUCUGUGAAAGCCCUCGGGCUCAACCGAGGAAUUGCAGGGGAAACUGCGAAGCUUGAGUCCGGGAGAGGGUAGUGGAAUUCCCAGUGUAGCGGUGAAAUGCGUAGAUAUUGGGAGGAACACCAGUGGCGAAGGCGGCUACCUGGACCGGUACUGACGCUGAUCUGCGAAAGCCAGGGGAGCAAACGGGAUUAGAUACCCCGGUAGUCCUGGCUGUAAACGCUGAGCACUUGGUGUGGCGGGUAUCGACCCCUGCCGUGCCGAAGCUAACGCAUUAAGUGCUCCGCCUGGGGAGUACGGUCGCAAGGCUA
rnacentral:rRNA from 1 species